UACGUAGGGGGCAAGCGUUGUCCGGAGUUACUGGGCGUAAAGCGCACGCAGGCGGUCGAUUAAGUUUGGAGUGACAGUUGGUGGCUUAACUGCCAAAGUGCUUCGAAAACUGAUCGACUUGAGGGCUUCAGAGGGACACGGAAUUCCGGGUGGAGUGGUGAAAUGCGUAGAGAUCCGGAGGAACACCGAAGGCGAAGGCAGUGUCCUGGGGAGUACCUGACGCUCAGGUGCGAAAGCCAGGGGAGCGAACGGGG
rnacentral:rRNA from 1 species